UAACUGAUUGUAAUAAUUGUCUUUGCAGGGAAUCUGGAUCUAACUGGUCCAAAGCAGGUGUUCAAAGCUGAGAACAAUCCGUGGGUCACUCCCAUCGCAGACCAGUUUCAACUGGGAGUCUCCCAUGUCUUCGAAUACGUCCGCUCAGAGACCUAUAAGUAUCUCCAUGGUCGGCACAUGCAGGCGAACCCAGAACCUCCAAAGAAGAGCAGCGAUAAGAGCAGGAAGAUCAGCCGCAAGCCGCUGGCUGCCAAGAACAAAUAAAGGAGGAAGUGGAUCAGAACCUUCCUCCUGUAUGGCUCCAUCUGGUUCUGGUUCUGCUCAUCUUUCUCCAUCAGUUGUUUGCUUCUUCAUGUUUUAUGCAGCUUUUCACGUUUAAUGUUCACCCAGACUUUCUAAGACUUUUCUCCAGAACCGUGGAACCAGCAGCUCCACCAUUCUUUACUAUUCUAGCUCAGCUCAGGCAGACUGAAGAAGAAGGUCAAAGGUCACUGCUGCUGUUAAACAUCUGGAUGUUUCCAGCAGCAGGAAGUUCGUCCAGGAGCCCCUGGUCCCCAGGGAAUCCUGCUUUUUAAGGAUCCCUGGUCCCCAGGGAACCCUGUCCCCCAAGGUCCCCUGCUUUCCAGGGACCCCUGCUGUCCAGAGAACCCUGUUUCCAGGGAACCCUGCUGUUAAAGGACCCUUGAUCCCCAGGGACUCCUGGUGUCCAGGGACUCCUGCUGUCCAGGGACCCCUGCUGUUCAGGGACUCCUGCAUCUUUGAUCUUGGGGCCCCAGUCAUGACUUACUGCAUGGCUGAUUAACAGGCUGGUGCGAAGGAACCAUUGGACUCUAGAGGUCCAGGGGGACAGAUGGAGGACAGGCGGAGGACAGGUGGGGGACCACUGCUGUAAGGCCUUAAAUCAUGAUGUUGGUCCUUGCUAACAUUUCCUCCUUAAAGAGCUGUGGGCCCCAGAGGGCCUCCAGUGGGGGCAGGUCUGAGCUGCAUCCGUUUCUCUCUGCGCUCUGUAACCAUAACAGCUUCUCAUCGAUUUAGAUCAAUUCACUUUGAUCUUUUUUUUAUUUAAUCUGCUGUCAUCAUAAUUGUUGCUCAGAAUAAAUGCCUUAAAUCCA